UGGGGAAUAUUGCACAAUGGGCGCAAGCCUGAUGCAGCAACGCCGCGUGAACGAUGAAGGUCUUCGGAUCGUAAAGUUCUGUUGCAGGGGAAGAUAAUGACGGUACCCUGUGAGGAAGCCCCGGCUAACUACGUGCCAGCAGCCGCGGUAAUACGUAGGGGGCUAGCGUUAUCCGGAUUUACUGGGCGUAAAGGGUGCGUAGGUGGUCUUUCAAGUCGGUGGUUAAAGGCUACGGCUCAACCGUAGUUAGCCUCCGAAACUGGAAGACUUGAGUGCAGGAGAGGAAAGUGGAAUUCCCAGUGUAGCGGUGAAAUGCUUAGAUAUCAUGAAGAACUCCGAUUGCGAAGGCAGCUUACGGGAGCGCAACUGACGCUGAAGCUCGAAGGUGCGGGUAUCGAACAGG
rnacentral:rRNA from 1 species